rnacentral:rRNA from 1 species
GAUGAACGCUGGCGGCGUGCCUAAUACAUGCAAGUCGAGCGAACAGACGAGGAGCUUGCUCCUUUGACGUUAGCGGCGGACGGCUGAGUAACACGUGGGUAACCUACCUAUAAGACUGGGAUAACUUCGGGAAACCGGAGCUAAUACCGGAUAAUAUUUCGAACCGCAUGGUUCGAUAGUGAAAGAUGGCCCUGCUAUCACUUAUAGAUGGACCCGCGCCGUAUUAGCUAGUUGGUAAGGUAACGGCUUACCAAGGCAACGAUGCUUAGCCGACCUGAGAGGGUGAUCGGCCACACUGGAACUGAGACACGGUCCAGACUCCUACGGGAGGCAGCAGUAGGGAAUCUUCCGCAAUGGGCGAAAGCCUGACGGAGCAACGCCGCGUGAGUGAUGAAGGUCUUCGGAUCGUAAAACUCUGUUAUUAGGGAAGAACAAACGUGUAAGUAACUGUGCACGUCUUGACGGUACCUAAUCAGAAAGCCACGGCUAACUACGUG